GGCUACACACGUGCUACAAUGGGUAGUACAGAGAGUCGCAAAGCCGCGAGGUGGAGCUAAUCUCAGAAAACUAUUCUUAGUUCGGAUUGUACUCUGCAACUCGAGUACAUGAAGUUGGAAUCGCUAGUAAUCGCGAAUCAGCAAUGUUGCGGUGAAUACGUUCUCGGGUCUUGUACACACCGCCCGUCACACCACGAGAGUUGGUUGCACCUGAAGUAGCAGGCCUAACCGUAAGGAGGGAUGCUCCGAGGGUGUGAUUAGCGAUUGGGGUGAAGUCGUAACAAGGUAUCCGUACGGGAACGU
rnacentral:rRNA from 1 species